CUCGCGUCUGAUUAGCUAGAUGGCGGGGUAACGGCCCACCAUGGCGACGAUCAGUAGCCGGUCUGAGAGGAUGAACGGCCACAUUGGGACUGAGAUACGGCCCAGACUCCUACGGGAGGCAGCAGUGGGGAAUAUUGGGCAAUGGGGGAAACCCUGACCCAGCAACGCCACGUGAAGGAAGAAGGCCUUCGGGUUGUAAACUUCUUUUAGCAGGGACGAAGGACGUGACGGUACCUGCAGAAAAAGCAACGGCUAACUACGUGCCAGCAGCCGCGGUAAUACGUAGGUUGCAAGCGUUGUCCGGAUUUACUGGGUGUAAAGGGCGUGUAGGCGGAGCUGCAAGUCAGAUGUGAAAUCCCGGGGCUCAACCCCGGAACUGCAUUUGAAACUGUAGCCCUUGAGUAUCGGAGAGGCAAGCGGAAUUCCUAGUGUAGCGGUGAAAUGCGUAGAUAUUAGGAGGAACACCAGUGGCGAAGGCGGCUUGCUGGACGACAACUGACGCUGAGGCGCGAAAGCGUGGGGAGCAAACAGGAUUAGAUACCCUGGUAGUCCACGCUGUAAACGAUGAAUACUAGGUGUGGGAGGACUGACCCCUUCCGUGCCGCAGUUAACACAAUAAGUAUUCCACCUGGGGAGUACGACCGCAAGGUUGAAACUCAAAGGAAUUGACGGGGGCCCGCACAAGCAGUGGAUUAUGUGGUUUAAUUCGACGCAACGCGAAGAACCUUACCAGGACUUGACAUCCAACUAACGAAGUAGAGAUACAUUAGGUGCCCUUCGGGGAAAGUUGAGACAGGUGGUGCAUGGUUGUCGUCAGCUCGUGUCGUGAGAUGUUGGGUUAAGUCCCGCAACGAGCGCAACCCCUAUUGUUAGUUGCUACGCAAGAGCACUCUAGCGAGACUGCCGUUGACAAAACGGAGGAAGGCGGGGACGACGUCAAAUCAUCAUGCCCCUUAUGUCCUGGGCUACACACGUAAUACAAUGGCCGUCAACAGAGGGAAGCGAAACUGCGAAGUGGAGCAAAUCCCUAAAAACGGUCUCAGUUCGGAUUGCAGGCUGCUUA
rnacentral:rRNA from 1 species